UACGUAGGGGGCAAGCGUUGUCCGGAUUUAUUGGGCGUAAAGAGCGUGUAGGCGGCUUUGCAAGUCCGUUGUGAAAACUCGAGCUCAACCUCGAGACGCCGGUGGAAACUGCAAAGCUAGAGUCCGGAAGAGGAGAGUGGAAUUCCUGGUGUAGCGGUGAAAUGCGCAGAUAUCAGGAAGAACACCCGUGGCGAAGGCGGCUCCUCUGGGACGGUACUGACGGCUGGAGACGCGAAAGCGUGGGGAGCGAACAGG
rnacentral:rRNA from 1 species